rnacentral:rRNA from 1 species
AGCGAACGCUGGCGGCAGGCUUAACACAUGCAAGUCGAGCGGGCACCCUCGGGUGUCGGCGGCAGACGGGUGGGCAACCCGUGGGAACACACGCUUCGGUCCGGAAUAACGCUGGGAAACAAGCGCUAAUACCGGAUGCGCCUACAGGGGGAAAGGUUUACGGCCGUAGUAUCGGGUCGAGUCUGAUUGGGGAGUUGGUUGGGUUAGGGCCUGCCCAGGCGGCGGUUGGUAGCUGGUCUGAGCAGAUGCUCAGCCACACUUGGACUGAGACACGGCCCAGACUCCUACGGGGGGCAGCAGUAGGGAGUAUUGGGCGAGGGGCGCAAGCCUGAUCCAGCCGUGCCGCGUGAGUGAUGAAGGGCGUAGGGUUGUGAAGCUCUUUUGUCCGAGACGAUAAUGACGGUACCGGAAGAAUAAGCCCCGGCUAACUUCGUG